rnacentral:rRNA from 1 species
AUUGAACGCUGGCGGCAUGCCUUACACAUGCAAGUCGAACGGUAACGGGCCUUCGGGUGCCGACGAGUGGCGAACGGGUGAGUAAUACAUCGGAACGUGCCCGAUCGUGGGGGAUAACGAGGCGAAAGCUUUGCUAAUACCGCAUACGAUCUACGGAUGAAAGCAGGGGACCGCAAGGCCUUGCGCGGACGGAGCGGCCGAUGGCAGAUUAGGUAGUUGGUGGGAUAAAAGCUUACCAAGCCGACGAUCUGUAGCUGGUCUGAGAGGAUGAUCAGCCACACUGGGACUGAGACACGGCCCAGACUCCUACGGGAGGCAGCAGUGGGGAAUUUUGGACAAUGGGCGCGAGCCUGAUCCAGCCAUGCCGCGUGCAGGAUGACGGCCUUCGGGUUGUAAACUGCUUUUGUACGGAACGAAAAGCCUUCUUCUAAUACAGGAGGGUCAUGACGGUGCCGUAAGAAUAAGCACCGGCUAACUACGUGCCAGCCGCCGCCGUAA